AUACUUACCUGACAGGGGCGAUUCCAUGAUUAGAAAGGUGGUUUCCCCAGGGUGAGGUUUGCCGAUUGCACUCCGGACAUGCUGGCCCCUGUGAUUUCCCCAAAUGUGGGAAACUUGACUCCACAAUUUGUGAUAGUGGAAGACUGCAUGCAUGCUCUCUCUUG